GCUGGGUGUGGUGGUGCAUACCUGUAGUCCCAGCUACUUGGGAGGCUGAGGCAGGAGGAUCACCUGGGCUCAGCAGUUCGAGGCUGCAGUGAGCUGAGAUCAUGCCACUGCACUCCAGCCUGGGUAACAAAGUGAGAUCCUGUCUCAA
ensembl:misc_RNA Metazoa_SRP Metazoan signal recognition particle RNA